rnacentral:lncRNA from 1 species
AUAUCUCUGUGAGGGCACACACUGAGGUUCCACUGACCUGGAAUCUGUAACUACUUACCUGGCUGCCUUAAGCACCGCAAGUCGGUGGGCAAAGAAAGGAGUUAAAGUACAAUAAUUAUAAUAAUUGGCCAGGUGUGGAGACUCAUGAAUGAGCCUGUAAUCCCAGCACUUUGGGAAGCCAAGAUGGGAGGAUUGCUUGAGCCCAGGAGUUCAAGACCAGCCUGGGAAAUAUAGUGAGACCCUGUUUCUACAGAAACAUUAAAAAAUUAGCUGGGCAUGGUGGUGCACACCUAUAGUCUUAGCCAUUCAAGAGGCUGAGGCAGGAGGAUCGCUUGAGAACAGGAGUGCAAGGCUUCAGGGAGCCAUGAUCAUGCCACUGCACUCCAACCCAGGCAACAGACCAAGACCCUGUCUCCAAAAAAAUUAUAAAACCUUUAGCAGCCUGGAUUAUUCCUCUUGGAUUGCAGGAAAUCCAGGGGAUUCACUGAGAUACCUCCUAGUUGUUCCACUCCUGGUAAAGCAAUUAUAACUCAAUAAGGGCUAUUCAACUAAGAGCUUCAGAUCCCCAUCUCCUCCCCUAGAUACGAAGAUCAUCCAAUCAGGCAACCAAUCUAGAUGAAUCAGCUGAAGUGUUGGACAAGAAGGAAGUCUAGCAUGGGUGGUGGAGAAGGGAGAUGAUGAAUAUCAAUUAUAGCCUUAGGACCAGUAACAGUAGCUUGAAUCAAGCCUUCUGUAGCUUGAUGCAUCUGUCUCUUCCAUUAGGCCUUCCAGAAAAUUGCAACUGCCCACAACCUUAAAGGGAACUUUAUAAAUAAAUGGAUUUGUAUUUCCUCUCUUAGAAAAGAGGGCUUCAACCAGCACCACCAUCUAAAGCUUACAGAAGGUCCUAUCCAUUGGCAUGUUACACCACACAACUUUUCUGAUUGGUGAACGGGCAGGGUUUCUCCAUACAGCCUGUCCAAACACUUGCCACAUGGUCAAGUGUGCACAACUGCCAAGCAACCUGCAGUGUCUUUUGAGGCUCAUUAUAAAGAAGAGGCCAGAAUAGAAACCCACCACCAUGCAUGCUUCCAGUUUUCCUUGCCUCAGUUCUCUUUUUUCCUACUCUUGUUAUUCUGAGUUAACACCCCCCAAAUAAAGCAUCAGCACUUAAUCCUUGC